rnacentral:SRP_RNA from 1 species
GCCGGGCACAGUGGCAUGUGCCUGUAGUCUCAGCUACUCCUGAGACUGAGGUGGAAGGAUUGAUUGAGCCCAGGAGUUCAGGGCUGCAGUGUGCUAUGCUGAUUGGGUGUCCACACUAAGUUCAGCAUCAAUAUGGUGACCUCUCGGGAGUGGGGGACCACCAGGUUGCCUAAGGAGGGGUGAACCGGCCCAGGUUGGAAUCGGAGCAGGUCAAAACUCCUAUGCUGAUCAGUAGCAGGAUCGCACCUGUGAAAGCCACUGCACUCCAGCCUGGGCAACAUAGCAAGACCCCAUCUCU